rnacentral:snoRNA from 1 species
UUGCAAUGAUGAAGGUUCCAAAACCAUUCGUAGUUUCCACCAGAGGUUGAAAAAAAAACCAGUGUUGGCUUAAAUUACCUUCCUUGGAUGUCUGAGCGA